rnacentral:misc_RNA from 1 species
GAUCGACGGAUGUAAUCUGAUCCGUCACCAUCUCCGUCCCGAAGCGUUCCGCAUGCUCAUAAAAACGCUUCAUGAGAAUUGGACCCUGAACGCCAUCAACGUCUGCGGGCCAGUUGUCCACAUCGGUCGUAGUCAUCAACUGACCUCCGCGGGCGAAUCCGGUGAUCAAUCGAGGUCUAAGAUUGGCACGCGCAGCAUAAAGCGCAGCGGUAUAUCCGGCCGGGCCCGAACCUAUGAUUGUGAGCUUCGAAUGUGACAUGUCUGUCCUCCAGUCUUGUUACUGUGACCGAUGAAC